UAUUGAAAAACCAAUAAAUAAAAAAUUGGUAAGUGAGGGUCAUCCACUCAACUCGACCUUCACUUGUAUGGGCGUUUAAAACAAAUCUAACCAAAAGCUUCAAAUAUUAUCCCCACUUCACAAUCACCGAUUACGAUAAUAUAAAUUCAUUUGCAGAUUGCAGCCAAACAUUGCUUAAAACACGCCCAACUAGAAAUCCACCGGAAAGAAAAAAAAAAGGAAAAUCGAAGUUUAGAAACGAAAGAGUGAUUAAUCGCAUACUUCUGUGAUUGUAAUUAAUUCUGUUUUAUCCGUCCAAAUCAAAUAUAUUUGAUUUGAAAAUGCAAGCUGUGGUUAUUAGCCUAACAUAUUACUGCAGGAACUAUCACCAAGCCCUAAAACCGUUUUCUUCUCGUCUCACAACUACCAAGCCCUCUAGCUUCUUUGGUACCCGCGUCUCGCUCAUGAAAGGGCAUAAUCCAGGGCGUUGCAGCUUAUAGCGUUGUGUGCGGAUUCGAUCACCUACUCUCACGCAUAGGCAAGAGAAGUAGAGAUGCCAAAUAUCUUCUUCCUAUUUCUCUUUGAAUUGAAGAAGAUAAGCCAUAUCAACAAAAUCAAGCUACUUCUCAAAGUUUACCGGUUGAUAUGGGUAAUUGUGAAGAUAUUCCGACUUGGCAAAGGGUUGAUGUUGUUAGAGAGACAAGGGAAACACAUGUUUCAUUAGAAAGGAGAAAAAGAAAGAAAAAUGGAAGGAAAAGGAGGAGAAAAAGAAGGCGAAUGGUAGAAUUAGACAAUGAAGAUGAUGAGCUUUGAUGAUUUUUUUUUUUUGUAUAAAAUGCACAUGCCAAUAGGUUUAUGGCUUCUUUCCCAAAUGUAGCCCAAGCCACUUUGUUCACUUAAUCUCGGAAUUUGACCCAAAUUGAAUGCACUCGGAAUUCAUAUACUGGUAAGCCAUAGCUAACCCUUUGCCUUAUCAUCAGCAAGCGGGCUAGGAAUUUUGCCUGUUUUCUUUAGAAUUCUAACUGUCCAUUUCCAGAGCAAAAAAAAAAAAAGUCUUUGUGUAUGUUUCAUGAGCUAUUGUCCUAUGAUAAGUCAAUUUGCUAUAAGUUAUUCUCUUGAAUUCCUAUUUCCAAACUGUAUAUGUAUAUUUGACUGCAUAGAUAAAAAGAUUGGAUCUGCUUACCUGGAAAGUUAGCAAAAAAGAGUUCUAAACCAUGUAAAAAGAAAGACAAUGGUCAAAUUCCUACACUUUUUUUGGAAAUAAUUAAAUCGUACUAUCUAAUUCGCACUGUUGCCAAUAGAAACCACUCUUAUAAUCAAUUUAAUUCUUGUCAUGACAUUGCAGAAAAGCCUAUAGAGGUUGAUCAUCACUUGUAUGAAUUUGGCUCCCUUGAACCACAUUAAGUCUUCAGCUUUUGAUCCACAACUUACUUGUCAAUAUCAACAACUCUACUGACCCAAGGGGAAUUGAGUGGAGUCUUUACAAUGAUGCAUCAAAUGCAUCAGUCUUGGUUGUUAAUGAGGUACAUGCUAUUUUUUUGGCAAUUGAUGGCUUGUUGGGUGUUGUCUUUAUUGUAACUUCACUGACUGACGAAGCAGUAGAUGCUGGGGAGGUAAAUGGGAAUGUGGCCUAUGUUUAUAUGAUGUUAUAUGCUUUAAAAUUUUUUCCAAAUUUUAUAUUCUCUUGGUACAACCAGCUUGAAUCCCUUUGAUGUGAUUAUGUCCCUUCAGCAAAGCGUUCUGGAAAAACUACAAUUCUCUACAUUUCAAUGGUUGAUUCAUUGUGGUUGACCAUUCUUGAUGUUCUGUCCCUUAUUUUAGCAAGGUUGGGUGAUUUUUUCUUUCAAUGAGUCCACUUUUCUCUCUCUGUCUUAAGCAAAACCAAGUUUGUAGUUGUUCUAAUUCAAAUUUAAUUUGAAGUUCUCAAGGAGAGGCUAUUAUGUUGGAAAUAUUGAAAAGGUAUCAGGCAUUUACUCAGGUAACCCAUAUUUUUCAGAUAAUGAAUCAUCAAAUUGUGGUUGCUAAUUUUGACUGUUGGCCUUAAUGUCCACAGGUUGGCUAAUUUAUGUUUUUAUUUCUUUCAAAAGCAACUUGUACCAGUUUCUAUUCAUGGUCACCUUCUGUUUCUUUUUGUUGUUUACAUUAGUGGUUGAAUUUUGUAAUUGACAUUUUAUUUUAGACACACUAAUAAAAAAUGAUAGUUUUUGAUGGCUUGUUCACUGGUCUUGAAUUUGUUAAAAGAGGAUGAAACUGAAGCUUGGGGUAUGGAGCUGUAUGAAAUUAAGGAAGCGGAUACUAACUGCAAAGGACUAAUGUGAAAUGGUGUCUGACAGCAAAUUUCUUUUCCAUACCAGCCGAAGUCGUUCCCUCUUGUAAUUGUUUCAAAUGCAUUAGAUUACUUGUCUCCAAGAUAUCUAAACAAGACACUUCCUGAUUUUGAAAGGGUAUCUGCUGGUGGAGUUGUUAUAUUUAUAGGAAAAAGCAAUUGAAGUUUAUUUUAAUUCCCGAACUUACAAGUCAUAAUCUAUGUUUACUUGUCGAUGGUUUAAAUCGCUUACUUUUUUAUUUUUGCCAAAUUUAGCCACUUUUUUCUAUUGGUGGACUUUUGAUUGAUUCUUUGUUUAGAUCUACUACCUACAUUUACUCCUUAUAUGCUAUAUGUAUGUCAUCAUGGCCAUCUUUUUCUUCGUUUUCAUAUUUUAAUAGACCUGUCUGUGUUGUAAAAAAAAUGCAUUAAGCUUUUAUAGCAGUGUUUUUGUAGCUAAUAUGCUAUAUGUGAUUUCAAAUAAAUAAUUUGAGCCUUUUUGACAUGUCAAGGACUUUUCUGAUUGUUAUAAGUGUAGGUUUUCCAAGUGGAAAGCUAAAGCAGCAGAGGUGUCCAAAUAUGGAAGGGUGGUAAGUGGCUAUUACUAUUUUCUUUAAUUAUUGUUUUUUAAUAUAAAUUGUUAAGCCUUGAUCAUCGCUAGGAACAUGGACACCGUUUGUAUCUUUUUUUGUUGGAUAGGCCUGUAAAUGAAUGUUGUCAAGUAGAACUUUCAUGGUAAGUUGGCAGGGAACUUUGAAUGCAUAAACUAUCUUGUCAAUAGUUUAAAGUUUUUCAAAUUCUAGUAUAUUCUAAGGGAAAGAAUUGUUUGGUUAAUGGGUUGGUUACGCUGGUGUAGAGAGACAUGAUCUGUUCAUUGCUUGGGUGUGAGCGGCAUUGAGUGUUUCAAUUUCUUUGUGUUUGUUAUGCAGCUCGGUUCUUUGAUGUUUUAUUUCUGUAACUUUGGAACUAUUUGUUUUGAGGCUUUCUACGAAAGAAUGUUGCUUAGCUGCAAGUAUUGCUCAGAUUAUAUGUAAUCAAUUGGCCAUUGUAAAACUGAGCAUACUACUUGGAAAAGAAAGUGAAUGAAAAAAAGAAAAGGAUGUAAUGUACAACCUAAAACGAAAAUUUAUUAUCGCACUAAAACUCCAAUCUUGUCUCAUUGACCAAUUAUUUGGGGUGGAUGACUUUCACCAUAUUUGUUUUUAUUUGCAAAUGUAAGAUUUCAUACAAGGAAGCAUUGCAGGUAGAUGAACCUUAUUGAAAUCAUGCUUAAUGCCUAACAAUGGCUUCAUCAUAUGGAGUUUCUUUUUUGGCCUUAAGAAUUUCAACCUACUAAGAGAUUCUUUAUUGGUGGUAGAAGGAAAUGAUAUGAGGGAGGGAUUCCUGUUGAUUUUGACUGUGUAUUACUUGAUUGUCUUGCUAACUUGUUUAAGUUUUUUAGAUAAAAAACUAUAAAGUACUUAAAAAGAAUUGAUAUGCUCAAGAGAUAUUUGUAUAUUAUUUGGAAUUUGUAUAUAUGGAUGCUUAUUUGGUUUUAUA